UACAGAGGGUGCAAGCGUUGUUCGGAAUUAUUGGGCGUAAAGGGAGUGUAGGCGGUUUGUUAAGUCUUCUGUGAAAUCUACGGGCUUAGCCUGUAACGUGCAGAGGAAACUGACAGGCUUGAGUGUCGGAGAGGAUAGGGGAAUUCCCGGUGUAGAGGUGAAAUUCGUAGAGAUCGGGAGGAACACCAGUGGCGAAGGCGCCUAUCUGGCUGACAACUGACGCUGAGACUCGAAAGCAUGGGGAGCAAACAGG
rnacentral:rRNA from 1 species